AUGUAUAUUGGGAGAAUCAUACUUCUUCCUGUCGCCACAGCUAAUGAGGCACAUGAAACCAUUGACUGUUGCUUGAUCACGCAUACAGAACAAGCAACUGUUUGGAGGCAUAUUCUUCUUCUGAAACGAAACCAUCUGCAGCCAAUCCCAGCAGGUUUUCCUUCAGGGCUGUAUGUGCACGAACGCAGGCGAAGUUCUCUGUGCUGCAUCGUGGAGGCUUGGUAGCCGUGUUUCCUGUGCAAUCGAUGGAGGAUGGCAGCCUGAAUAUUGCAAGGAAGAAUUCCCAUGGAACAGAUUUUCUUCUUAAAACUGUUGUAGAUUUUUGUAAUGGCAAACUAUAAGGACACAAAGGAGCAAAAGUUCUCCUGAUAAAGACUCAAAAGGUGGAUUCAUUUUGUAAAUAAGAGAGAAAACAAAAUAUGAAUAAGUAAAACUUUAAAUCAUUCUUCAGGUUUACUCCUGCCUUUCAAAUUUCAUAUAUUUCUUUACACAAAACAGAGCAUGAUAAACCUUAAGUGAAUUUUGGUGAUUUGCGACAACUCUUUUGCCUUAAUGAUAUAACUACUGUGUGAGAAAUUUGUGAAUGAUGAAUCAUAGUCUAUUCAAUGUAAAACACCUCACAGACAAGCAGGUCUCCAAUUUAGAAAUGACCUUGCAUGAUCUACACUGUUGUUUUUCACUGUUUCAUGCACACAAUAUGCUACUCUUCUACUGUCUAUAUAUUUGUUAAAGUUCAGGGCAAUUAUAUGCAAUAUGCGAAUGGAUUGUACUUUACAGUACCUUUCGUCUAAAUGAGAACAAAUGGAAGCCCUGGAAGCCCAGCAAACCUACGCCCUGAGGAUCUCAGAGGCACAAAUCAUCAACACUGUGCUAAGCUUUAUCGCGUACAAAGAUCCAGCAAGUAAUCAAUAGGAUUGCACAGCAAAGGUUUCGUUGAACAAUGAAUGUAUUGUCUCUUCCUGGCUUAUUCCAUGUGCUGUGCUUCUCAAUGCUGAUAAUGUUGCAGAAGAUGUUAAACAUGACCAUAUUUUGAUAAAAAAUAAAUACGUAACAAGGUGUAGCA
rnacentral:lncRNA from 1 species